AUUGAACGCUGGCGGCAUGCCUUACACAUGCAAGUCGAACGGUAACAGGUCUUCGGAUGCUGACGAGUGGCGAACGGGUGAGUAAUACGUCGGAACGUGCCCGAGAGUGGGGGAUAACGAGGCGAAAGCUUUGCUAAUACCGCAUACGAUCUCAGGAUGAAAGCAGGGGACCGCAAGGCCUUGCGCUCACGGAGCGGCCGAUGGCAGAGUAGGUAGUUGGUGGGAUAAAAGCUUACCAAGCCGACGAUCUGUAGCUGGUCUGAGAGGACGACCGGCCACACUGGGACUGAGACACGGCCCAGACGCCUACGGGGGGCAGCAGUGGGGAAUUUUGGACAAUGGGCGCAAGCCUGAUCCAGCCAUGCCGCGUGCAGGAUGAAGGCCUUCGGGUUGUAAACUGCUUUUGUACGGAACGAAAAGACUCCUUCUAAUAAAGGGGGUCCAUGACGGUACCGUAAGAAUAAGCACCGGCUAACUACGUGCCAGCCGCCGCCGUAACAC
rnacentral:rRNA from 1 species